rnacentral:misc_RNA from 1 species
GUAGGUGAACCUGCGGAAGGAUCAUUAACGAGUGAAGGGGCUCACGCCCCUGGUGGCAUCACUGCCGCCCGACUCUUCACCCUGUGUUUACAUAUCUUUGUUGCUUUGGCGGGCCUUGAACGCCUUUUCACGCCAGCCUUGAGCCCUCGGCCUGGGCCGGCGAGCGCCCGUCGGUAGCCCGUUAUAAAACCCUUGUAUCAGUGAUGUCCGAGUAUCAGAAUGAAUAAAUAAAAACUUUCAACAACGGAUC